UUCAUGGCGGCCCCUCUUUUCCAACCGAGCCACGGAUUUAGGAAUGUGGAGACCAGCAGCUACGUCACCCACAAACUGCCUGAGGUGUCGUCGAUUAAAAACUUUUUAAAACGGCUUUACAUGAACGAACCGACCACUCUCCGGUCCAAGCUGGAGUGGAAGCGGGGGGCAAGAAAAGAAAAAAAAAAAAAGCCUGCAAUUCAAAAACACCGACAAAUUAGCCGCUGCUAGCACCGGAACCAUUUUCCCUCACACACUGCCAGGGACGCUGGUCUCUGUCUCCAUGGUGACGCGCCCGUUGACGCUUUGAGCUGCCUGAAAGCGGGUGGGCGGAACCGGAGGAGACCUCACCGAGUGAAGGAUGCCAUUUCACGAUGGAGUGUACUACCCCUACGGCAGCGACACCCAGGGGACCCAUUCGUCGGCGGGGAUCCCCUCCCUCCUGAACUCCCCGCUCAGCCAGCAGUCUGCGGUGCCCGGCAUGGUCCCGGCCGCCUUCAAGUUCCGCCCGCGCCGCCAGAGCGUGGACUGGCGGCGCCUCAACGCCGUGGACGUGGACCUGGUGGCGAGCCAGCUGGACGUGGACACCCUGCAGGAGCACAUCGGCACCGUGACCUUCUGCAGCCUGGACGCCGAGCGGUGCCAGCGGUGCCAGAGCCCCGUGGACCCGGCGCUCAUCAACCUGCUGCGGCUGGCGCAGCUCACGGUGGAGUGGCUCCUGCACUGCCAGGAGAUCCUCAGCGCCAACCUGCGCGGCGCCGAGGAGCGGCUGGCGGCGGCCGCCGGCGAGCGGGAGCAGCUGCUGGCCCUGCUCAGGAAGCAGGAGGAGAAGGCGAAGGCGCUGAUGGGCGAGCUGAAGCAGAGGAAGAAGGUGAUACGGACCCAGCAGUCGCUGCUGGCUCCACGGAUCAUGAGCAGUCACAAGUGUGGACAUUGCGAUAAAUCCUUCCUCAACUCCUCCUUCCUUCACAACCACAUACAGCGCCGGCAUCCUGACGAGCACCACUCGCAGCUGCAGUCCGACAGCGAGAAGAAAUCUCAGAUUGAUAGUCUGAAAAAGGAGAUUAGCAGUCUGAAGGAUCAAAUCACUCAGCAGCAACAGGAUCUGCAGGCCAAAAUUGCUCAGGAAAAGGAGCAGCAGUCGAUGCACAAAGACCUGCUGAGGGACUUGGAGCGCUUCAAGGCGGAGGAGAUGGCCCGCAUGGACAAGAAGCUGGAAGACAGCAGGGACGGCAUGCGCAGGGAGAUGGAGUUCCUCUACAACCGAAACUUUCAGGCUCUCACCGAAGCAAAUCAGAAUCAGACGGCCAAGCAGGAGAAACCAAGCAGCCCUGUCAACUCUCAAGCCCAUCGACACUCUUACAAUGACGUGCAGCUGCAAGCCAUCCACAAGCUGGAGCAGCAGAUGAAGAAACAGGACAAAAGGUGGGAGUCCAGAAUCAAAGAGCUCAAGGCUCAACACGAGUCUGAAAAGAAUCAGUUGCUGAACGAGCUGAGCAAGAUGCAGGCGUCCGUGACGGAGCACCAGGAGCAGAGCCAGCGGCUGCAGCAGGAGAUGGACCGCAGGCUGCAGCAGGAGAUGGACCGCAGGCUGCAGCAGGAGAGGGACCGCAGGCUGCAGGAGGAGAUGGACCGUAGGCUGCAGCAGGAGAUGGACCGCAGGCUGCAGGACAAGGCGCAGACCGUCAAGGCUCAAAGAGAGCAGGUGAGGAGUAUUUCCUACAGUCCACCCACUACAGUGCAAGAAAUACCAGUUGCUGCCAGCCCACCAGUCCCAGAACCCAAACCAAAGAAGGUCUCACUCGAGGAGCCAGCCUCUGCUCUAAAGCUGGAUCCCAUACAGGAGUUGUCGGAAGAGGAGAAAGAUUACAGCAUCUCUGAGAAGAGAGUGCUGUCCAGUAAACAUGUGACCGAAGCGCCUAAGAAAGCUAAGAUGUCGCCUAGCGCUGUGAAAAAGAACCCCAGCAUCAAGAAGGAGAUGCGAGCCGAGCUGGAACGCUCCCUUACCAAGAAGCUGGAGAGCCUGGGGGUCAAGCCUAACCAGAAAGGCUUGACGAACAAGGAGUACGGUUCCUUCCUCGCCAAGGUGCGUUUAAAGCAGGACGCCGUUGCAAAGACGAUGCCCGACUACUGGCGCUGUUGGGAGGAGACCGCGAGCACGGUUCAGCUGAAGCUGGGCGGACAAGAGGAAGACGUCGAAGCUGCCCCGAGACCCAAACAGUCCCAUUACGUGAUGCAGGUUCGGCCGCGCUCCAGCAGCCUGCCCUCCAGAUCCAGCCAGGCGGUUCCUGCAGCAACCGUCACGCAGCCAAAGACUCCGCAGCCGACACCGAGGACCAAAGGCUUCAUCCAGCUGAAGACGUCCACCUCCAACGUGAAGCCGAUGUUCAGGAUUAGCACGAGCAAAACCCCGCCGUUUAGUUCGGACGAAGACUCGCUAGACUCGCAGUCCGACCUGGAUGAGGAGCAGCCAGACCGAGUCAAUUCGUUAAAUCUGACGCUUCAGAUCAAACCUCCGGUUCUGUCCAGGCAGGGCGCAGUCAGCCAGUCGUCGUCCUCCUCUAAACCACAGCAGUCCCGUCACGGAGCCACGAAGGCGCAGAGCGACGACGACGACGAGGAGUGGUCAGAUGUGAGCGAUAUGGCGGAAAUUGACUUCAGGCAUCUGCGCGGCUUCAAAAACUACAACAACAGUAAUGAUAAAGGAAUCCACAGUAAAGAUAAAGUAGCUGAUUUGGCCAGAAAAGUAGAAGAGCACAUAUCAGAGAGACCAACAAAGAAGCCUGCAGGGGGCGUCAGCGUUUUUCCAGAGAGAAAGGACGAAGUUCAGGAGCUGUCGUUGACAGAUCUCGAGGAGAGCAGUGAAUGGAUGGUCUCCUCUCUGGAGGACAAACCGGGAGCAUCUAAGCAAACGUCUUUCCGGGUCUCCGGUCCCCUGAGGAAGAGCCUGGACUCAUCCAGCACCAGCGUCUGGGGGACGUCUACAGGAAAAGCCCCCAAAUCAGGUCCGACCGAAGCAGGAGCAGGAAGCACGCUGAAGAGCAGCCUGUGCUCCUUCAGUGACAUCAGCGACUCAGAGGACAUAAGCAAUAAGUAGCAUUAGCACUGCAGCAGAUCAGAAAACGUCACCCUUGCGUUGGUGAUCUCCGUCCCGCCGAUUUUCGUGCAUUUCAUCCCGAUGAGCGUGAGGACGCCUCCAAAGAAUCCUGUGAUCACGGCGGAGACCGCCAGUGCUCUGAGCGCGUGCAGGAAAAGUCAGUUGUGGAGUUUUCAGCGCCUUACCAGGCAGGGCCAACAUGGACGGGUAGUCCUUGCAGUCGGAGACCCCCGUCGUGUCCGAGAUGCAGUCUCUCCACAGGUUGGAGUAGUAGUUGGCGGUUGUCAGCACGAUGCUGCCCACUUCAGAGAACGUCCAGUACUCGGUGGGAAGAGUGGAGCACACCAGGAUCCAGCCGCACAGGCUGGUCACAAAGCAGCCGAUCUCCACGUACAUAAUUACCAUCCUGUACUCCAUGGUCGGCGCAGAUUCUCAACUAAAAACGGAAAUAAUAAUGUCUCGCCGUGGGAACCAGGACUGAAGGUCCCCUCUGCGUUAUACCUGCAGAGCGGAGAGGUAAGUAAACGAACCUCUAUGGGCGGAAAACUGCAUGCAGUUACGCAGUGAAUUGUGCGGCCAAGCAACAGGAGAAGACUCCCCACCAAACCGAGGUAGAGGGGCGGUCCGAUCUCAUAGCUGAGGAGACGUGAUUGACAAUAACCAGCCCCGUCUGAGAUGCCUGGUGGAGGAGGAAGAGAGGGAAAAACGAGACAAACCACCCAGCAGCUGGACCGCCCACGCUCCCAUCAGCAUCCCGUCCUUGGUCCUAUCCACAUACUCUCCAUCCCAAAAACCAAGAGCCGGAGUAAUCCGAGGCAGAGCCCAAUCUCAACAGACCCCUCACUGCCUGGAUGUAUCCUGGAAAAACCACCCCCCAAAAAACAGUAAAAUAUUCCCAA